GUUUUUCUGAAUUACUUUUGAUUCACCCAAACAUGAGGGUUAUGUUGUAGCUAUUCAUUACCAUUCUUGAACCUAAAUCACUUCUUCCUUGACUCUGUUUUCAUACAGGUCUCACAAGAGUUGCUAAGAUCACUGGGACUGAAGUUGAGUUGUUCUUUAAAGGAACCGCCUUUGAAGGUUAUGAUUUCCGGUGCACCGGCUUCUGGGAAAGGAACUCAGUGUGAAUUGAUUGUCAAGAAGGAUUGAUAUAUGCAUCAUUUAGUUUGGAUUGGUACACAUAUCAACAGGGGACCUUCUAAGAGCUGAAGUGUCAUCUGGGACUGAAAUUGGAAAUAAAGCCAAAGGGUUCAUGAAUGCUGGCAAGUUGGUUCCUGAUGAAAUCGUCACAGCUGUAUGUAUUCUAGGCAUUCACAUGAGUUAGAAAUAUUGCAUUUUUCAUGACUCCGUUAUCUAAUUGGUAACAUAAUCACGUGCAGGGAUUGCUAACUAUGUUCAUAUAUGUUUGUGUUGUAACUCUUGAUCCUCAAACAUUGGAUUGUUUUAUCCCUUGGAAAAACAAUGGAGUUGUAACUUCUAAGUAUAAUAAGAGUCAAAAUGAACAGGCAGUAAUUCACCAUAACAAUUUAUGCUAUAAUAUCUUAUAUUCUUCUCCACCCCUGCAUUCAGCUGUAAUUACUAGCAUAGUUCUACUUUGAAUUAUUUUAUCUCAGUAUGGUC